AUGAAUGCCAUUUUGGGGGUGAAGACCUUGCUGCCCUCAGGGACUGUUGGCGCAUGCACAUCAGUCAUCAUCCAGGUGGAGGCCAAUAUGACUGACUCCAACUACGUGGCAGAGAUUGACUUCAUUUCUAAUGAGGAAUGGGAGAAGGAGCUGGAAUCACUUUUGAAAAUCAAAGAAAUGGAUGGUGAGGAGAAAGAUAAAAGGAUGGUGAAUAUGGCGAACAGUAAAAUCCAGGCAUUGUACGGAGAAGAUGCAGUCGGGAAAAGCUUUGAUGAACUGAAGUCACUGGAGUCAGAGACAUUCAGCGACAUCCCAGAGUUUCUCUCAUCAACUAGGAAAAUCCUGUCAUUUGACACAGUAAGUCAUUUUAAGCCUCUUUUAUANNNNNNNNNNAUGUUGUUUACAGGUGGCUAUUGAUCAGACUUUUCUCAGACCUUUUUAUCUCCGGAUUACAGAUCCCAAAGCUUCUUCUCAUGUGCAGAAAAAGGUCAGGGCAAAAAUGUAUUGGCGCCUCUGUUUUCAAUACCUUUCAAUACCUCACCAUGCGAGGAUAAUUGAGUCUUUUUCCCCAAAAAAUUGAAAUUGGAGAACACAUUGGGAUAGGUCUCAGACCAUUUCUCCAUAAAAAAUAUUUUCAGAUCCUUGAUAUCCUUCACCUGCGCUUAUGGACUGCCCUCUUCAUUUCAAACCACAGGUUUUCAAUGAGGUUAAAGUCCGGAGACUGAGAUGGCCAUUUCAUUUUUUUUUUUUUUGUCAUCAAUGAACCAUUUCUUUGUGGUUUUUGAUUUCUGCUUUGGGUUAUUGUCUUGCUGGGAUCCACUUGCAUCUAAGUUUUAGCCUCCUGGCAGAGGCAACCAGGUUUUUGUAUAAAAUGUCCUGGUACUGGCUAAAGUUCAUGAUGCCGUUGACCUUAACAAGGGCCUCAGGAACAGUUAAAGCAAAAUAGCACCUUAAAUGUGAAUCACAUUUUAUUUGGAUUACCGCAGUUUGGGAAUACCUGCUCUAUGGGAUUGGUGACCCCACACGGGACGGUUGAGCUAACGUGCGCUAAUGGGAUUAGCAUGAGGUUGUAAGUAACAAGUACAUUUCCCAGGACAUAGACAUACAGUGGGGAGAACAAGUAUUUGAUACACUGCUGAUUUUGCAGGUUUUCCAACUUACAAAGCAUGUAGUGGUCUGUAAUUUUUAUCAUAGGUGCACUUCAACUGUGAGAGACGGAAUCUAAAACAAAAAUCCAGAAAAUCACAUUGUAUGAUUUUUAAGUAAUUAAUUUGCAUCUCGCCGUUAAGAUACUGAUGCCCUUUGCAACCACGUAUCUAUGUGAGAGUGGAUUCUCGGUCCUAAAAACUAAAUACAGGCAAAAACUGUGUUUGGAAAAUGAUUUAAGACUGAGACUUUGUAACCCUGCCACACACACACUAUAAGAUACAUUUAUUAAACAUAUGAAUGAGUGUGAGUUGUCACAACUCACAUUUAUUAAACAUAAGAAUGAGUGUAUCUUAUAGUGUGUGUGUGUGUGUGUGUGUGGGGGGGGGGCAGGAUUACAAUCAUGGCAAAAAACAACAUUUGAGGGUAUGCUGACUCUGGUGCUUGAGGGGGGAUGCAGCUGGAGGUUGAAUGUUUGAGGGGCACGGGACUAUAAAAGGUUUGGGAACCACUGCCAUAGAGGAUAACAUCAAAGGUCCAACAAAACAUUUUACAGUAGGUAUGGGAUUCUUUUCUGCUUAUGCAGAACCCUAAAAAUCUGAACCUCAAAAAGCAAAAAGAACAAACUAUUUAUUUUAAGAAUACAUUCUAGCACUUCCUGUAUUCAAGCUAAAUUAUGCAUUUAACGUACUGAGAGCGGACCAAGUAAUUGGGCGUCACUCUAAAGCGGGAAGGUGGAAUAAACGAGUCAGGAGUAAGUGUUACGGUGAGUGAAUGAGGACCCAAAAGCGAAUUAACUUAAACAGAGCUUCUUUAAUAACCAAACAUAGGUAGGCUCAGAUAGACCGGCAGAUUCCGACAGGACAGGACAAGGUUACAGCAAACAUGACGAUAGUCUGGUUCAGGCAUGAAACACAACAAACAAGAAUCCGACAAGGACAGGAACAAAAACAGAGAGAGAUAUAGGGACCUAAUCAGAGGGAAAAAGGGAACAGGUGGGAAACGGGGUGAAUGGGUAGUUAGGAGGAGACAAGGCACAGCUGGGGGAAAGAGGGGGAGAAAAGGUAACCUAACAACGACCAGCAGAGGGAGACAGGGUGAAGGGAAAGGACAGAAACACAAAACAUGACAAUACAUGACAGUACCCCCCCACUCACCGAGCGCCUCCUGGCGCACUCGAGGAGGAAACCUGGCGGCAACGGAGGAAAUCCUCGAUCAGCGCACGGUCCAGCACGUCCCGAGAGGGAACCCAACUCCUCUCCUCAGGACCGUACCCCUCCCAAUCAACGAGGUACUGGUGACCACGGCCCCGAGGACGCAUGUCCAAAAUCCUGCGGACCCUGUAGAUGGGUGCGCCCUCGACAAGGAUGGGGGGNNNNNNNNNNUUUUCCAACUUACAAAGCAUGUAGUGGUCUGUAAUUUUUAUCAUAGGUGCACUUCAACUGUGAGAGACGGAAUCUAAAACAAAAAUCCAGAAAAUCACAUUGUAUGAUUUUUAAGUAAUUAAUUUGCAUCUCGCCGUUAAGAUACUGAUGCCCUUUGCAACCACGUAUCUAUGUGAGAGUGGAUUCUCGGUCCUAAAAACUAAAUACAGGCAAAAACUGUGUUUGGAAAAUGAUUUAAGACUGAGACUUUGUAACCCUGCCAC
rnacentral:lncRNA from 13 species